CCCUUAGAUGUUCUGGGCCGCACGCGCGCUACACUGAUGAAUGCAACGAGCUCUACCCUUGACCGAAAGGCCCGGGUAAACUUGUGAAACUUCAUCGUGAUGGGGAUAGAUUAUUGCAAUUAUUAAUCUUCAACGAGGAAUUCCUAGUAAGCGCGAGUCAUCAGCUCGCGUUGAUUACGUCCCUGCCCUUUGUACACACCGCCCGUCGCUCCUACCGAUUGAAUGGUCCGGUGAAAUCUUCGGAUUGCUGACCAAGAUCCAGCAAUGGAGCUUGGUUGCGAGAAGUUGAUUAAACCUUAUCACUUAGAGGAAGGAGAAGUCGUAACA
rnacentral:rRNA from 1 species